UCUUACUAAAAUUCACAUAUCUUAAAAUAUAAAUUUCUUUUUUUCUACACCGUUAUUUUUCCAUGAAAAUAGACUCAACAAGCUUUAAUUCCAUAUAUCAUUCACCCUCUAAUUCAUUUUAUACUAUCUUGGGUGAUUUUUCAAAUUCACGUCACUGUGCUGCCUGAAUUCUGUUUCUUUGCAAAAUUUUAUCCUUUCAUGAUUUCCAUGCAUAAUUUAUCACCUAAUAUUUCAUAACAACAAACACCUUCAUCCUUAAUCAUUUUAAUAACCAUACAUCAUCAAAUACUUACACAUCACUCAUUAGCAAAAUCAUCACUACAAACAUACAAAAUAACUAAAUUCCUAUACAUGUCAUAACUUAAACGUGUUUCGAUAUAAAAUACCGAGCAGUUGUAGUUGAUAGUGUGGACGAUCUCCGACUUCUUUAGGAUCCUUGAAGUAGCUUUGCAAUACUAUAAGAGAAAGAAAUAAAAGAAGUAAGCAUAAAGCUUAGUAAGUUUACUAGCAAAUAAAUAACAAUAUUUAACUUAAAUAAUUAAACUCAAUGUCUAUAUCUCUAGUUUACUCUUUAGUUAAUCUCAUACUAGUUCUCUUACUUGUUUACUUAGAAUAUUUGUGUGCAUAACUUACUCAAUCCUUGCUGCAUCGUUGAACAUCAAUUGAUAGUAUAAUAAGUUCUUAAGUCUUACAACUUACCUGAGCUUGCCAUUUAUGCUUUAAAAACAUGAUUCGUUUACAAGCCCGUUGAACUACAUUGGAAUAAUAAGGAUACUCGGGUCUCUUCUGAUAAUAACAUGCCAAAGCCAUGUCCCAGACAUGGUCUUACAUGGGAUGUUCUCGUGAUGGUGCCCAUGCCAUGUCCCAAACAUGGUCUUAUAGGGGACCUCUCAUCUCGGUGCCAACGCCAUGUCCCAGACAUGGUCUUACAUGGGACCUCUCGUCUCGGUGCCCAUGCCAUGUCCCAGACAUGGUCUUACAGGGGACCUCUCAUGAUCUUAAGGAUGCCAAUGCCAUGUCCCAGACAUGGUCUUACAUGGGAUCUCUUUACCCAAAUGUCAUGACAUUCGUAUCCAGUACCAUCCUUAUGUAUCAACGGGACUUUUAAAUUUUAAUUCUCUAUCAUUUCAUGCUUGGAUCAUCAUCAAAUAAAUUCAUAAAAUAAAUUCAUAAUUGCUGGAAAUUAACAGCAUUAAUAAUAAAUAUUGAAAUAUUGCAUUUAUUUACCGUAAACUUACCUCGGUACCAAUUAUAGCCAAAUUCACCAACUUAGUCUUCAACUUUAUUCUUCCCUUUGUCUAACCUCGAGUUUCGUACUUCUUGAUCUAAAAUAGUAAAUUUAACUUAUUUAAUAAUCACAUUCAUCAAAAUAGCCCUCGACUCUAACUUUUUCAAAAUUACAAUUUUGCCCCUAAACUUUUACAUAAUUACAUUUUUGCCCCAAGGCUCGGAAAUUAAACUUCAUCUCUUAUUCUUAUGUUUUAUAACAUUCUGAACAUUUUUCCCUUCUAUGGCAACAUCAAAUUCUAAUUUAAUCCCUUAUCAAUACUAAUUUUAUUUUUGCAUUCUAACUCUAUAUUCUCUCUUAAUUCUUACUAUAAAGUCAAUUUAAUUCCUCAAUUUCACCAUAAAUCCCUAAUUUCGGGAUUCUUUCAAUUUAAUCCCUAUCGAUUCAAAACUUAUAUUUUAUUUUACAAUUAUGUUCUUUACUAACUUCUAACUUGAAAUUAAAUCAAUUUAACCCCUAACUAAACCUAUAUAUUUUUCUUUCUCAAUUCAUACCCUUAUUCUACCCAAUUUCUUGCUAAACUCAUAUUUAACUAUUUAAUUUUUAUCAUGUUUUCAUAAUUUCGAAUUUAUUUCAAAUUAAUCCCUAAAAUUCAAAACUUAUAGUUUAGUUUACAAUUCAAUCCUUUAUUCAAUUCCAAUCAAAAUUUCUAUCAAAUACAUCCCUAAUUUAACAAUUUAUUCAACAUGAACCAUGCUUAAUAAUCUACUAACUUCCAAAAUUUCAACUUAAUCAAGUAGUAUUUUGUUCUAGGAUUUCAAAAAAAAUAUCAAAAUUAAGAGAAAAUGGGAUUAAAUUGACUUACCAAAUUACUUUGAACCUUAAAACCCCAAAUUUCCCUUUUUCUUUUCUUUUCUUUCUUUCUUUCUUUCCUUCCUUCCUUCUCUGUUUCGUUUUGCUCUCUGUUUCUUUCUUUCUCCCUUCUCUGUUUUGUUUUGCUCUCUGUUUCUUUUCUUUCUUUCUUUGUCAUAUAUAUAUAAUAAUAAUAUAAUAUAAUAUAAUAUAAUAUAUUAAUAAUAAUAUAAUAUAAAAACAUAAUUAUUACUUACGCAUGUAUAAUAUAAUAUAUAUUUUAAAUU
rnacentral:lncRNA from 1 species